UGGGGAAUUGUUCACAAUGGGCGCAAGCCUGAUGACGCAACGCCGCGUGGGGGAUGAAGGUCUUCGGAUUGUAAACCCCUGUCGAAUGGGACGAAAGACUCGCGAGUUAAUACUUCGCGGGAGUGACGGUACCGUUAAAGGAAGCCACGGCUAACUCUGUGCCAGCAGCCGCGGUAAUACAGAGGUGGCAAGCGUUGUUCGGAAUUACUGGGCGUAAAGGGCGCGUAGGCGGCCUACUAAGUCAGACGUGAAAUCCCCCGGCUUAACCUGGGAACUGCGUCUGAUACUGGAAGGCUUGAGUAUGGGAGAGGGAUGUAGAAUUCCAGGUGUAGCGGUGAAAUGCGUAGAUAUCUGGAGGAAUACCGGUGGCGAAGGCGGCAUCCUGGACCAUUACUGACGCUGAGGCGCGAAAGCUAGGGGAGCAAACGGGAUUAGAUACCCCGGUAGUCCCUGAGCGGGCUGGCAAGGCGCAU
rnacentral:rRNA from 1 species